rnacentral:lncRNA from 1 species
AACUUAUCAUACCUAACCUUGACACAAUAUCAAGUCCAGAUGACACGAGUUUAACUUACUUUCAAGCCAAAUAUUUUUAGGGUUUAUUUACGCGUUGAGUCCAAGUACAUGUAGGUCUGAUUUGCUUCAAGACCCAAUAUUAUUGGGUUCAGCUAUACUCAACAUCUUUUGGUUUAACUACGCGUUGAACCCAAGUACAUGUAGAUUUGAUAAACUGUCUGACUCAACAUCCUUGGACUUGCGAUCAUUCCAAGUCCAAAUGCAAGUGGAACUGACAAUCAUUAUAGGCCCCAUGUCGGGUCACGAUGCUUUAUUUAUUUAUUCUUAUGACUUUUAAUAUAAAAUAUUAAAAGUCAAGAAUAAUCAUCUCCUUACAUUCUUACGUGUAUAAAUUUUUUUUAAGAGCUUAUCAUAUUUUCAUCAAUAUUAAUCUUGUGUAGGAGUGUUCAAAAAAACAAGUCAUAUGUAAUAUUUGCAUUAUUUGAUUUAACCCAACCCAUCAAAGUUGGUUAAUAUGGAUAGUAUAAAUAAUACUAGGUCAAAAAACUAAAUAAAUAGAUAUUACGGGUCAGAUGUGAGUUGAGAUUUUUAAAAACUGCCUAACCCGACCUGACCUCAUAUAACCCAUUUAGUUAAUGAGUAACCUUAACACUCAAUAUGAAUAUUUUUUUGUCCUUCUCUCUCUUCAUUGUUUUUUAUAUGUAUCAAUUUUUUUUUAUCUUUUCAAUAUCUUUUUUAUGUUUAGUGCUAACUAUAUGUUUGAGAUACUAUAAUACAUAUUGCAAUAUCAGACAAAUAAUUAUAUGCUUUUAAAAGUGUAUUUUUUUAGAAUCAUCGAUGAAUAAGGGGAUUUAUAUGCAAAACCCAAUAAUGUAUGUAAUAUCCACACAAAAUUUAGUUCAACCCAAUAUAUCCAAACUGCUUGGGUUUAAUUUUUUUUUUGAAUGGGUCGGGUCUAUAAUUUGUAAAAUAUCAGAAGUUGGGUUGGAUACAAUUAUGGAUACCAACCCGAUCCAUGAACAUCUUUAAUAUGUGUAAGAAUAUCUAUCAUUUAUUAAUAUUGUGUAAGAGAUAAUUAUACUUCAUUAAUGUUAUUAGGAAGAAAUGACACCCUAACCCCUUUAUUUAAGCAAAUAUGACAAGGUUUAGAGGCUACAUAUACCCCACUAAACUAUCCAAGUAAAUGGUAUAUAUUUUUCUAUUAUCUAAGUAUUCAUGCUCUUAUUCUCAUAACAUUUAUAAUAUACAAACAAGAACAAACACUCUUGUUCUUAAAAUUUAGAGCUCAUUCUCCUAUCUAUUUCAAUAUCUUAUUAAAAGUCACUGAUCUUAUCAUUAGAUGGUCUUUAAAUCUCAUAAAAAAAUUAUUUUACAUGUGUUAGGUCUUCUAUCACUAACCAUCAACUUCAUGAACUCCUUAGAAGAGAAUAUUAACGUAAACGUGUGAUUAUCCACUGUUAAAAAACUAAAAAAAUUUCAUUCCUAAACAUGUUAAAUUUAAGUACAUCAUCAAUACUUUAUCAACAAUUUAAAAUAUUUUAAGGCAUAAAAUUAAUGAAAAAAAGGUACAUUCAUUGAAAUUAAAAAAUAAAGACAGAUACAUAUGGUUCUGUUUGUUUUUGCAUUUCAAAAGCGAUUUUUAAAAAAAUUAAAAUUUUAUUUUAUUUUUUUUGUUUAAAAUUAAUAUUUUUUUGGUGUUUUUAGAUCAUUUUGAUGCGUUGAUGUCAAAAAUAAUUUUUAAAAAAUAAAAUAAAAAUUAUUUUGAUAUAUUUCAGAAUGAAAAGUAUUUUAAAAAAUAACCGUAACUACAUUCCCAACAACAAGUGGAAAAAAAAAUAAAAAUACAUACUCAAGUAAAAAAAUAAAAAUAGAAACAUCAAAUUAGAAAAUAUGUAUAAGGUCAGAUACAUUGACAAUGACUAGCAGGACAAAAAGGAGUGGCGGGGAUCCUUUUCUUUUUCCUUUCUUUACUAAAAGAAGUUGCAAGAUCACCGAACUCAUCAUCAAAGAAUUAGCAAGCACUAGCUAGAAACUGAUUCCAAGCAUUAUUAAAGCAUCUUCAUUCAGGAGCAAGAACAAGAUUCGCCAGUACAGAUGAUGGGAACUUAACUUCUGUCCUUGUCGAUCAUAAAUUCUACAUACCAGUACUCGACCGAUCGAGCACUCCGUGACCGGCCAGCCUACAGAAAUCUAUAUAUCUCAUUGACCAAAACUUCAAAAGAUUCUCGUAUACAUGCUUUGAUGAGGCAAAGUACGUAGCCAAAACAAUUAGAACAUACAUCUGAUCACUCAUGCUGUUUGACACAGGAAAUCUCUUACUCGAUCACGUAUUAUUCAAGCCUUAAAACCAUGCAAUAAGAUAUGAUCAUCGCUUCAGGGUAUUGCUCGCUAUCUAUCCCAUUAUUCAUUCCAAUAUCUAGCCCGACUAAGUUUUUCUCUCGACGGAUAAGCUCGGAACUUUUAUGCCAUACAUAAUUUCUCGAGACCAGGAUAAAGUAACUUCAUAUCAUGGUGGUGGUCGAGUAUAUUUUCCAAAACUCAAAUUAAAAAUACAUGCUGUACGUGUGUGUGUAUACACCAAGAGUAUUUGGAACAAACUAAAUUAAAAAUCACACCACUAAUUAGAUGGUCCCAUCAGCUAGCUAUGUAGGUAUUAUAGUCAUAGCUAGUAAGAGCCCAAUCAGGCUAUCUCCUUAAAUCAUGUACGAACAAGGGUUAGAAAACGACUGAAAGAAUCAAAAGAGAUCACCUUGGCCAAACCUCCAUGUGCAGAUAAAUUACAUUUCAGAGAUGUUUGACAACGAACCACAUA